rnacentral:rRNA from 1 species
GUGGGGAAUCUUGCACAAUGGGGGAAACCCUGAUGCAGCGACGCCGCGUGAGCGAUGAAGCCCUUCGGGGUGUAAAGCUCUUUCGGCAGGAACGAUAAUGACGGUACCUGCAGAAGAAGCUGCGGCUAACUACGUGCCAGCAGCCGCGGUAAUACGUAGGCAGCAAGCGUUGUUCGGAGUUACUGGGCGUAAAGAGUGCGUAGGCGGUUCUCUAAGUUCGGUGUGAAAUCUCCCGGCUCAACUGGGAGGGUGCGCCGGAAACUGGAGGGCUUGAGUAUGGGAGAGGAAAGCGUAAUUCCUGGUGUAGCGGUGAAAUGCGUAGAUAUCAGGAGGAACACCUGUGGUGUAGACGGCUUUCUGGACCAUGACUGACGCUGAGGCACGAAAGCGUGGGGAGCAAACAGGAUUAGAAACCCUAGUAGUCC